rnacentral:rRNA from 1 species
CAGUAGCCACGGUAAUACGUAGGGUGCAAGCGUUAAUCGGAAUUACUGGGCGUAAAGCGUGCGCAGGCGGUUUGUUAAGACAGAUGUGAAAUCCCCGGGCUCAACCUGGGAACUGCAUUUGUGACUGGCAAGCUAGAGUGUGGCAGAGGGGGGUGGAAUUCCGCGUGUAGCAGUGAAAUGCGUAGAUAUGCGGAGGAACACCGAUGGCGAAGGCAGCCCCCUGGGCCAACACUGACGCUCAUGCGCGAAAGCGUGGGGAGCAAGCAGGAUUAGAUACCCCAGUAGUCCCUGUCUCUUAUAC